AGUAAUGCAACCAACCAUGUGACUCUUUCCUUUCCAUAUGAGAAAUACGAAUCUCAAUUUAGUAACAAGGGAAACUAUUCAAAUUUGGCAAAGCUAUUCUUUGUGUGCCCUCAGACAGGUGGGGAAAAUGUGUUCGCGAGCAACGCAGUCUUUCUUGACCUCUUUGCUUAUCCUCCUCUAAAGACCAUUCCAGUUAAAACGCUUAUUCUUGCACGUUUAUCCUUGGUGCUGGCAGAGUCUUCCCUGUGUCAGAAAACACGACCUCCAACUUCAGAAGGCUAAGGAUGUUUUCAGAGUCAUGAAGAGCAUCUCGAAUCAAAUCUAACCCCCAGAGGCCACGACCGGUUUUCAUCAACUUUCCUAGCAUCUCCCUCCGGCCCUAAAGAAGAUGAGGAAGCACAGUUCCUGAACCCUGAGGUCACACUGAUGCGCAGCGUCAGGCAGUACUGCUCGCAAGAGGGCCCAGAACGAAACACUGAGGAAGAGCCACACCCGGACAUCGUGGACAGGCUCCCUGUGUGUCUUCUGCUUGGGUGUGCCCUGUUGGAAAGGAGAAGGACACAUGUGACAUAUUUAAAGCUUGAUGAAAGGGCUGAAGAAUUCCAGCUGCUUUUUAUCCAACCCUGACACUUAGAUACUUUUCAAGAAGCAACGUGGCCUUAUGAAUUGGUAAGAAUAAAAAGAAAUAGUUUAUCCUUUAGCUUUAUCCUUACAAGGCCCCACCUAACUGCCCACAUGGUGAACUGGGAAAAUAGUAAACUGUAAAAUGUUUUAGUUGAGAUAUAAAGUAGACCUAUUUUGAGUAUAUGACGAUGACUUGUACAUAAACUUGGAGCCUUCCCUGACAGCCCAGUCUCUGAAAACAGCCCACACUGUCUCCACUGCUUAACUUCUGCCUCCUCUGCCCAUUGCAGUCUGGCUUGUGCACCCACAACUGCAAUGGAAAUGAUUUCUGAAGAUGAUCAGGACCUUCCGAUUGUGAGGUGUCAUGGCUUCGGUUUUAGAAUGGCUGAAGUUUAAAAAAAUUACCCUACCAUGCACUGGAGAGGAUGUGGAAGGCCCAGAACUCUCUGAUACCACUCAUGGGAAUGUAAAAUUGUACAACCGCUUUGCAAAACAGUUCAGCAGUUUCUUAAAAAGUUAAACAUAUACAGAUCAUAUGAGCCAGUCUGGGUAUUCACCCAAGAGAAAAGAAAGCAUGCGUUCCUACAAGGACAUGAACAUGAACAGUCAAAGCAGCUUUAUCUGCAUUAGCCAAAGAUUGGCAACAACCCAAAUGUCCAUCAUUUAUCCAUUAAGGAGAAUGGAUAAAUAAACUGUGAUACAUCCAUGCUAAGUCCACAAUGGAAUACUAUUCAGCAGAAAGGAAGAAGGAAGGUAGGAAGGAAGGAAGGGAGGAAGGGAAGAAGGAGGGAAAGCUAUUUACACAAUGCUCCAAAAUGGGUGAGUCUCGAUCUCAAAAUAAUUAGGCCCAUUCCCAAAAUAAGGAAGGCAGUUUAAAAAAAGAGUACAUACUAUGAUUUCAUUUAUAUAAAAUUUGAGAAAAUGCAAACUAAUCUAUAGUGAUGGAUCAGUGGUUGCCUGGGAAAGAAGGAUAGAAAGGGAUGGAGAGGAGGGGUUACAAAGGACCAGAAGGAAACUUUUCGGGUGAUGGAUGUGUUCAUCAACUUGAUCAUGGUGAUGGUCUUAGGGUGUGUCCAUACAGAAAACUUAUGAAACUAUAUACUUUAAAGAUGUGUGGCUUAUUGUAUGUCAAUUAUACCUCAAUAAAAUUAUUUUUAAAAGCCCA